UUUGCAAUUGGGGACCUUGUAUAUCUCAAAGUAUCACCGAUGCGAAAUGUGUAUCGUUUUGGCAAUAAGGGCAAGCUCAGUCCUAGGUAUAUUGGACCGUUCCAAGUGCUUAAAAGAGUGAGCCCACUAGCGUACAAGAUCGAGAUGCCUCCUAAUUUGGCGGGCGUUCACGAUGUUUUUCACGUCUCUCAACUGCGGAAGUGUGUUCACGAUCCAUCACAGGUGAUUAGUCAUGAGCCUCUUGAUAUUCAACCGAAUCUAACAUAUGAAGAGUUGCCCGUGCAAAUUUUGGAUCGUAAAGAGCACCGGUUGAGAACCAAGUCUAUCCCUCUAGUGAAAGUUUUAUGGCGGAAUCACGGCGUUGAGGAAGCCUCAUGGGAACUUGAGCAACAAAUGCGGGAUAAAUAUCCUCAAUUAUUCGAGUAAACCCAGGUGUUGGCUAUUUGGAAUUUUCUGGAGGCUACCCAAGCCUUGGGUAUUAGUUGGUGAACUUUGGAUGGAGCUUCUUUGGCUACAGGUACACCCGACUUGGAGGAUGACCCCGUAGCUUUUUAUUUGGGAUACUAUGACUAGAGCAUGACGUGACAGUUGUAGUGCUAUGGACCGCGGGUUGUCCAUACUUUUGGGUAUUUUGUAUAUGGCUCGUGACAAAUGCGUCACUUAUUCUUUUGUGUAGCCAUCCUUUUGUAAUAGUUGUAAUGAUGUUAAGCCUUAAACAGUUAGACAUGUGAAUGGCUCUUUUGUGUAAACAAUAUGUUUAUAUUUAGAUAUGCUUUUCCGCUGA